UACAGAGGUCUCAAGCGUUGUUCGGAUUCAUUGGGCGUAAAGGGUGCGUAGGCGGCGCGGUAAGUCGGGUGUGAAAUCUCGGAGCUUAACUCCGAAACUGCAUUCGAUACUGCCGUGCUUGAGGACUGGAGAGGAGACUGGAAUUUACGGUGUAGCGGUGAAAUGCGUAGAUAUCGUGAGGAAGACCAGUGGCGAAGGCGGGUCUCUGGACAGUUCCUGACGCUGAGGCACGAAGGCCAGGGGAGCAAACGGG
rnacentral:rRNA from 1 species